rnacentral:lncRNA from 1 species
CCGAGCGUCCACUGUUCCUUGAUAUAAGGUGUAUUGCUUUUUGAAAAAAGAUCAGAAAUAUAAGGUGUAUUCCGUUGCACCACUCGUUUGGCUAUUUGUUUUAGGGAUUUGAUUACAUUUUCUUAUAUCAGGCAAACUCCUUUAUUUUCUGAUGUCAAUUAGUCAUGUGUAAUCUCAUCCAAAACUUUUGAAAUGUUCCCU